rnacentral:rRNA from 1 species
UACGGGGGGGGUAAGCGUUGUUCGGAAUUACUGGGCGUAAAGGGCGCGUAGGCGGCCUUCUAAGUCGAACGUGAAAUCCCCGGGCUCAACCCGGGAACUGCGUCCGAUACUGGAAGGCUUGAAUCCGGGAGAGGGAUGCGGAAUUCCAGGUGUAGCGGUGAAAUGCGUAGAUAUCGGGAGGAAUACCGAUGGCGAAGGCAGGUCUCUGGGCUAUAACUGACGCUCAUGCACGAAAGCGUGGGGAGCAAACAGG